rnacentral:misc_RNA from 1 species
GCAAACUUGGUCAUUUAGAGGAAGUAAAAGUCGUAACAAGGUUUCCGUAGGUGAACCUGCGGAAGGAUCAUUACUGAAGAAAUGAUAGCAGUUGAGCUGACUCUUAGGAGUAUGUGCUCGCUCUAUCGCUUUUUUCUACUUCUCCACUGUGCACCUAUUGUAGGCUGCGAUGACUCUCAAAAAGAGGGAGGUCUUCGGGCCUUCUGUUUGGAUAGAAGGCUAUGCAAUUCACUUUGCUUGCCUUCAAUUUCGUAGCCUAUGUCCAUACAAACUCAUUUGAUAGUCUCUGAAUGUUAUAUUGUUGGUCUUUGAGACCGAUAAAACCUAUACAACUUUCAGCAACGGAUCUCUUGGCUCUCGCAUCGAUGAAGAACGCAGC